UGCGUGACAUUAGCUAGUUGGCGGGGCAACGGCCCACCAAGGCGACGAUGUCUAGGGGUUCUGAGAGGAAGGUCCCCCACACUGGUACUGAGACACGGACCAGACUCCUACGGGAGGCAGCAGUGAGGAAUAUUGGUCAAUGGGCGCGAGCCUGAACCAGCCAAGUCGCGUGAGGGAUGACGGCCCUACGGGUUGUAAACCUCUUUUGUCGGGGAACAAAUUCCGUUACGUGUAACGGAGUCGAGAGUACCCGAAGAAAAAGCAUCGGCUAACUCCGUGCCAGCAGCCGCGGUAAUACGGAGGAUGCGAGCGUUAUCCGGAUUUAUUGGGUUUAAAGGGUGCGUAGGCGGACUGUCAAGUCAGCGGUAAAAUACGGGGGCUCAACCUCCGCCCGCCGUUGAAACUGACGGUCUUGAGUGGGCGAGAAGUAUGCGGAAUGCGUGGUGUAGCGGUGAAAUGCAUAGAUAUCACGCAGAACUCCGAUUGCGAAGGCAGCAUACCGGCGCCCAACUGACGCUGAAGCACGAAAGCGUGGGUAUCGAACAGGAUUAGAUACCCUGGUAGUCCACGCAGUAAA
rnacentral:rRNA from 1 species